rnacentral:rRNA from 1 species
GACAGAGGGUGCAAACGUUGUUCGGAAUUACUGGGCGUAAAGCGCGUGUAGGCGGUCUCGCAAGUCGGAUGUGAAAGCCCAGGGCUCAACCCUGGAAGUGCACUCGAUACUGCGAGACUAGAGUCCCGGAGAGGAUGGUGGAACUCUCGGUGUAGAGGUGAAAUUCGUAGAUAUCGAGAAGAACACCGGUGGCGAAGGCGGCCAUCUGGACGGUGACUGACGCUGAGACGCGAAAGCGUGGGGAGCAAACAGG